rnacentral:lncRNA from 1 species
AAAACAUUGAGCCUCUAAAUACAUUGUAGUCUCUAAAUAUAAAUGUAUUGCUCUGCUGAUUUAAUAACAUUAAUAUUGUUCAUUUACUUGUCAUUGGAACCAAGCAAUUUUAUCAUAGAAAUUAUUAAAAUGUUAGAAAUACCUGUAUUGUAAAACGGUAUAGCUUCCCUCACAAAUGUGUACAGUCGUGGAGAGUUUUUGGCGCGUCUGAGCACCAUAGCAACGAAUCGCCGUCAUCGUUCAUUCAGUGUUCAAUGGUUAGCAUGCGGGCGACUAGCGCGAACACUAGAGCUGCACCUGAAUUGAUCGCGUACGUACGCUAAUUACGCAAGCCGUUGUCGCAUUUAAACAUCCACAGAAAGCAUUCCCCACAUUUCUGGCAUAAACAAACACAAAUUAUAUGCAACAUGUGUUUACAAAAUUGUUACCAACGCAGUCGUAAUGGAAGUAGGACAUCUUGAAAUAAGGGGCAUGAGAGAAGGGGGAGUGAGAAAAGGCCACAGAGGACAUGAGGGAAUCUUGCCACACAUUCACGGCAAACUAUGGACGAAGUCAGUAUUAUUCUACUAAUAGUGAUAGUCAAACAUGCAGUCGGUA